GGGUAACGGGGAAUCAGGGUUCGAUUCCGGAGAGGGAGCCCGAGAAACGGCUACCACUUCCAAGGAAGGCAGCAGGCGCGCAACUUACCCUAAUCUCGAUUCGAGGAGGUAGUGACAAGAAAUACCGAUGCGGGACCCUACGGGUGCCGCGUUCGGAAUGAGUACGAUUCGAACCACCUAACGAGGAACGAUCGGAGGGCAAGUCUGGUGCCAGCAGCCGCGGUAAUUCCAGCUCCAAUAGCGUACGUUAAAGUUGCUGCAGUUAAAAAGCUCGUAGUUGAACGUUCGGGUUCCGCGGGACGGGGCCGCCCCGCGAGGGACGGCGCCGCCCCGGGGCUCGUGAUAUCUCAUCUCGCCGCCCGUCGCGAGGCGGACGGAGGGAUGGAUGAGGUUACCUGGAAAAAAUCGGGGCGAUCUAGGCGGGCGAACCUCGCCAACGAACG
rnacentral:rRNA from 1 species